GGCCAUCCGGCGAAACGGAAUCGCGCCCGAUUACAAUGGCCAAUGUAACUCACAUGUAAUCAGGAGAGUGCAGGUUCGACUCCUGCGAUGGUCA